GAGGUGGAAGCGUGGUGACACGUGGAGCUGACGAAUACUAAUCGAUCGAAGACUUAAUCAAUUU
rnacentral:rRNA from 1 species